GAAAGGGGAGGGAGCCUGUGGUCGAGGUAGGUCAGAGCAGGUGAAGGGAGAAUGCGAGAGAGACAUAGCAGAGCUACCGCCAAGACCACCCAUCCACCCACAGUGACUUUGGAACGUACCAUGUUGCUUGAUGACACGCUGGACCCAUGCCUACACAUCGUAAUCCCGAGAGUCGCUAAGAGAGGUGGAAGAUGGGCUCCAACAUGGCCUCGUCUCAACAUUUUAUGCAUGGGUCACCAAAACAAGACAUUGCUAGCUGCUGAAAUCUGGUGUUGGUUGCUAGGUUUUAAUUGUGUUGUUGCUCAGUGUUGUAUGCCUUAUUUCCAUUUAUGGAAUAUGUUUGUCAGGACACAAAAAUAAAUCAUCAAAAGCAGAGAGG
rnacentral:lncRNA from 11 species